rnacentral:sRNA from 1 species
UGGUUGAGUUGAGGCCGAACGAGUGA